rnacentral:rRNA from 1 species
UACGGGGGGGGCAAGCGUUGUUCGGAAUUACUGGGCGUAAAGGGCUCGUAGGCGGCUAACUAAGUCCGACGUGAAAUCCCCAGGCUUAACCUGGGAACUGCGUCGGAUACUGGAUGGCUUGAAUUCGGGAGAGGGAUGCAGAAUUCCAGGUGUAGCGGUGAAAUGCGUAGAUAUCUGGAGGAAUACCGGUGGCGAAGGCGGCAUCCUGGACCGACAUUGACGCUGAGGAGCGAAAGCUAGGGGAGCAAACGGG